rnacentral:lncRNA from 1 species
UGCAGUCAAGUCCAAGCCCAAAGCAAUUAAAGGACUUAUGGAAGAAGCUUAGGGUCAUCACAAGCCACCAUAGGCUAAUCACGUGUAUCAACAAGCCACUCCAAGCCAACCACACGCCAACACCUGAGAAGGAAGGUGCUAGGCAGCAAAAGAAGCAAGAAGAAAAGCUAAUGGGGCAGCCAAACUCUUUGGGCAGGGACCUAAGGUGCCACAACCAGCAGCCAAGGUUUCUGUGGAUACGAACCUAUUGAUCCCAUCUACAUAGAAGUGAAUUAGGUCUUAUUUUUUGACCGCCCACGACAGCGAUCAAAUUUUCAGAUUUUCAAUGCAG